CCCUUAGAUGUUCUGGGCCGCACGCGCGCUACACUGACGAAUUCAACGAGCUUAUAACCUUGGCCGAAAGGUCUGGGUAAUCUCCAAAUUUCGUCGUGAUGGGGAUAGAUUAUUGCAAUUAUUAAUCUUCAACGAGGAAUGCCUAGUAAGCGCAAGUCAUCAGCUUGCGUUGAUUACGUCCCUGCCCUUUGUACACACCGCCCGUCGCUCCUACCGAUUGAAUGGUCCGGUGAAGCGUUCGGACCGUGGCCUUUGGACGGUUCGCCGUCUGUUGGCUGCGGGAAGUUCGUUAAACCUUAUCAUUUAGAGGAAGGAGAAGUCGUAACA
rnacentral:rRNA from 1 species